CCAAUAGCGUAUAUUAAAGUUGUUGCAGUUAAAAAGCUCGUAGUUGAAUUUCGGGAUUAGUACGUCGGUCGUGCCUUCGGUACGUACUGGUGUUACUGAUUCCUACCUUCUGACGAACCAUCAUGUCAUUAAUUUGGUGUGGCGGGGAAUCAGGACUGUUACUUUGAAAAAAUUAGAGUGUUUAAAGCAGGCUCGCGCUUGAAUACAUUAGCAUGGAAUAAUGAAAUAGGACGUUGACCCUAUUUUGUUGGUUUCUAGGAUUGACGUAAUGAUUAAUAGGGAUAGUUGGGGGCAUUAGUAUUCAAUUGUCAGAGGUGAAAUUCUUGGAUUUAUUGAAGACUAACUACUGCGAAAGCAUUUGCCAAGGAUGUUUUCAUUAAUCAAGAACGAAAGUUAGGGGAUCGAAGACGAUCAGAUACCGUCGUAGUCUUAACCAUAAACUAUGCCGACUAGGGAUCGGAUGAUGUUAAUUUUUUAAUGACUCAUUCGGCGCCUUACG
rnacentral:rRNA from 1 species